AUUGAACGCUGGCGGCAGGCUUAACACAUGCAAGUCGAGCGGUAACAGAGAGAAGCUUGCUUCUCUGCUGACGAGCGGCGGACGGGUGAGUAAUGCCUAGGAAUCUGCCUAGUAGUGGGGGAUAACUUGCCGAAAGGUAAGCUAAUACCGCAUACGUCCUACGGGAGAAAGGAGGGGACCUUCGGGCCUUUCGCUAUUAGAUGAGCCUAGGUCGGAUUAGUUAGUUGGUGAGGUAAUUGCUCACCAAGACCGCGAUCCGUAACUGGUCUGAGAGGAUGAUCAGGCACACUGGAACUGAUACACGGUCCAGAAUCCUACGGGAGGCAGCAGUGGGGAAUAUUGGACAAUGGGGGGAACCCUGAUCCAGCCAUGCCGCGUGUGUGAAGAAGGUCUUAGGAUUGUAAAGCACUUUAAGUUGGGAGGAAGAGCAGUUAACUAAUAUUUGACUGUUUUGACGUUACCGACAGAAUAAGCACCGGCUAACUUCGUGCCAGCCGCCGCAGUAA
rnacentral:rRNA from 1 species